rnacentral:rRNA from 1 species
GAUGAACGCUAGCUACAGGCUUAACACAUGCAAGUCGAGGGGUAACGAGAGGAAAGCUUGCUUUCCUUGUCGACGACCGGCGCACGGGUGAGUAACGCGUGUCCAACCUGCCCCCAACUAGGGAAUAACCUUGCGAAAGUAAGACUAAUACCCUAUAAUUUCCUCAGAUGUCAUCUGACGAGGAAUAAAGAUUUAUCGGUUGUGGAUGGGCAUGCGUCUGAUUAGCUUGUUGGCGGGGUAACGGCCCACCAAGGCAACGAUCAGUAGGGGUUCUGAGAGGAAGGUCCCCCACAUUGGAACUGAGACACGGUCCAAACUCCUACGGGAGGCAGCAGUGAGGAAUAUUGGUCAAUGGGCGGAAGCCUGAACCAGCCAAGUAGCGUGCAGGAUGACGGCCCUAUGGGUUGCAAACUGCUUUUAUACAGGAAUAAAGUUAGCCACGUGUGGUUAUUUGUAGGUACUGUAUGAAUAAGGACCGGCUAAUUCCGUGCCAGCCGCCGCCGUAA